rnacentral:rRNA from 1 species
UACGUAGGGUGCGAGCGUUAAUCGGAAUUACUGGGCGUAAAGCGUGCGCAGGCGGUUCGGUAAGUCAGAUGUGAAAGCCCCGGGCUCAACCUGGGAACUGCAUUUGAAACUGGCGGGCUUGAGUGUGGCAGAGGGGGGUGGAAUUCCGCGUGUAGCAGUGAAAUGCGUAGAGAUCGGGAGGAACACCAGUGGCGAAGGCGGCUACCUGGGCCAGCACUGACACUGAGGCACGAAAGCGUGGGGAGCAAACAGG